AGUGAACGCUGGCGGUAGGCCUAACACAUGCAAGUCGAACGGCAGCACAGUAAGAGCUUGCUCUUACGGGUGGCGAGUGGCGGACGGGUGAGGAAUACAUCGGAAUCUACUUUUUCGUGGGGGAUAACGUAGGGAAACUUACGCUAAUACCGCAUACGACCUACGGGUGAAAGCAGGGGAUCUUCGGACCUUGCGCGAUUGAAUGAGCCGAUGUCGGAUUAGCUAGUUGGCGGGGUAAAGGCCCACCAAGGCGACGAUCCGUAGCUGGUCUGAGAGGAUGAUCAGCCACACUGGAACUGAGACACGGUCCAGACUCCUACGGGAGACAGCAGUGGGGAAUAUUGGACAAUGGGCGCAAGCCUGAUCCAGCCAUACCGCGUGGGUGAAGAAGGCCUUCGGGUUGUAAAGCCCUUUUGUUGGGAACGAAAAGCAGCAGGUUAAUACCCCGCUGUUCUGACGGUACCCAAAGAAUAAGCACCGGCUAACUUCGUG
rnacentral:rRNA from 1 species